rnacentral:rRNA from 1 species
GAGUUUGAUCCUGGCUCAGAGUGAACGCUGGCGGCAGGCCUAACACAUGCAAGUCGAACGGCAGCACAGGAGAGCCUGCUCUCUGGGUGGCGAGUGGCGGACGGGUGAGGAAUACAUCGGAAUCUACCCUGUCGUGGGGGAUAACGUAGGGAAACUUACGCUAAUACCGCAUACGACCUCCGGGUGAAAGCAGGGGAUCGAAAGACCUUGCGCGAUUGGAUGAGCCGAUGUCCGAUUAGCUAGUUGGCGGGGUAAAGGCCCACCAAGGCGACGAUCGGUAGCUGGUCUGAGAGGAUGAUCAGCCACACUGGAACUGAGACACGGUCCAGACUCCUACGGGAGGCAGCAGUGGGGAAUAUUGGACAAUGGGCGAAAGCCUGAUCCAGCCAUGCCGCGUGGGUGAAGAAGGCCUUCGGGUUGUAAAGCCCUUUGUUGGGAAAGAAAACUUUCCGGUUAAUACCCGGAGAGAAUGACGGUACCCAAAGAAUAAGCACCGGCUAACUUCGUG